rnacentral:rRNA from 1 species
UACGGAGGGUGCAAGCGUUAUCCGGAUUCACUGGGUUUAAAGGGUGCGUAGGUGGAUUGGUAAGUCAGUGGUGAAAUCUCCGGGCUUAACCCGGAAACUGCCAUUGAUACUAUCAGUCUUGAAUACCGUGGAGGUCAGUAGAAUAUGUCAUGUAGCGGUGAAAUGCUUAGAUAUGACAUAGAAUACCAAUUGCGAAGGCAGCUGGCUACACGAAUAUUGACACUCAGGCACGAAAGCGUCGGGAUCAAACAGG